ACUUUAUCAACCGGAAAAGGUUCUCUCAUAAGUACAAUACUUUGGGAGAUUAAAAGGGAACCAUGUGUAAAUCAUGGGCUGUCGCGCAACUGUGAGUAGGGUAAAAGUUUCGGCCAUUAAUGUCCACUGGGUGCUAAGUGCACCUGGAAAGGAGGGCCGGAAUACUAUAAGCCAGGAUACCAGCCUGUUUCCGGAAGGACAA
rnacentral:ncRNA from 2 species